GAAAGAGCGCACGGUGGAUGCCUUGGCAUCAAGGGGCGAUGAAGGACGCGGCAAGACUGCGAUAUUCCUCGGCUAGCUGUCUAGCAAGCUUAACCGGGGGUUUCCGAAUGGGGCAACCCGGCCAGGUAAAACCUGGUCACUCUCAGCUCAACACAUAGGCUGAGUAGAGGCAACCAGGGGAAGUGAAACAUCUCAGUACCCUGAGGAAAAUAUAAGAUUCUCUUAGUAGCGGUGAGCGAAAAGGGAAAAGCCCAAACCUUAUAAGCUAAGUGGUUUAACGGCCUAAGCUUAUAAGGGGUUGUAAGACAGGUGACGUCCGGCGUUAAACGGGCAAAGGAGUUACAAACCGAACUCUAGUUGAAGGUCUCUGGAAAGAGCCACCAUAGACGGUGAUAGUCCGGUAAACGAAAGAGCUAGGCUCCUUAAUUUGAUCUUAAGUACCACGGGACACGAGAAAUCUUGUGGGAAUCUGCCAUGACCACAUGGUAAGGCUAAAUACUCUUGAUGACCGAUAGUGGACUAGUACCGUGAGGGAAAGGUGAAAAAUACCCCGAGAGGGGAGUGAAAUAGAUCUGAAACCGUGCGCUUACAAGCAGUCGGAGCCCUUCUUCGGAGGGGUGACGGCGUGCCUAUUGAAGAAUGAGCCGACGAGUUAAUCUGUGUAGCCUGGUUAAGCAACUACGUUGCGGAGCCGUAGCGAAAGCGAGUCUGAAUAGGGCGUUUUGUUGCAUGGAUUAGACCCGAAGCCGGGUGAGCUAUCCAUGGUCAGGGUGAAGCUUCGAUAAUCUCGAAGUGGAGGCCCGAACCGGUCAACGCUGCAAAGUUGUCGGAUGAACUGUGGAUAGAGGAGAAAUUCCAAUCGAACCCGGGGAUAGCUGGUUCUCCUCGAAAUGUAUCUAGGUACAGCCUCGGAUGUUCACUUACGGAGGUAAGGCACUGGAUGGACUAGGUGGGAGAGAUCCUGUCGAAUUCAACCAAACCAAGAAUGCCGUAAGUUUAAAGUCCGGGAGUGAGACUAUGGGGGCUAAGCUCCGUAGUCGAAAGGGAAACAGCCCAGACCAUCAGCUAAGGUCCCUAAGUACAGACUAAGUGGUAAAGGAAGUUGAACUACCCAGACAGCCAGGAGGUUGGCUUAGAAGCAGCCAUCCUUUAAAGAUAGCGUAAUAGCUCACUGGUUAAGUGGUUCUGCGCCGACAAUCCAACGGGGCUCAAGUCUGUCACCGAAGCUAUGGACCUCGAUUCGUCGGGGUGGUAGAGGAGCGUUCCUCUCGCAGUGAAGUCGUUACGUGAGUAACGGUGGAGCGUGGGGAAGUGAGAAUGUCGGCAUGAGUAGCGUAAGGUGUGUGAAAAACACACCCACCGAAAACCUAAGGUUUCCUACGCAAGGUUAAUCCGCGUAGGGUUAGUCGGGCCUAAGCCGAGGCCGAAAGGCGUAGAGCGAUGGACAGCUGGUCAUCAUUCCAGCACCGCCGUUGUGGAGGCAAAGGGGCAACACGGGAGGAUAGGUUAGGCAUACCCAUUGGACAUGGUGUGUCACCGGUCAAAGGCGUUUGGGGGCAGGCAAAUCCACUCCCAAGUUAAGUUGAAGACCGGGGGAAGUUGAGGAGAGAUCCAAGACGAUUUAGUUGAUUCCAUACCGUCAAGAAAACCCUCGUUGCCAAUGAAGCAGUGGCGCCCGUACCGCAAACCGACUCUGGUAGGUGGGGGUAAAUGUCCCAAGGUGAUCGAGAUAACCCUCGUUAAGGAACUCUGCAAUCUAGCCCCGUAACUUCGGGAUAAGGGGUGCCUUUCUCUGAAAGGUGACACUAAAGGGGUCCAAGUGACUGUUUAUCAAAAACAUAGGUCUCUGCUAAAGCGUAAGCUGAUGUAUAGGGGCUGAUACCUGCCCAGUGCUGGAAGGUUAAGGGGAGAGGUUAGCGCAAGCAAAGCUUUGAACCGAAGCCCCAGUGAACGGCGGCCGUAACUAUAACGGUCCUAAGGUAGCGAAAUCCCUUGUCGGGUAAGUUCCGACCCGCACGAAUGGUGUAACAACUUGGACGCUGUCUUAACGAGGGACUCGGCGAAAUUGAAUUACCCGUGAAGAUGCGGGUUUCCCGCCACUGGACAAAAAGACCCCGUGGAGCUUUACUACAACUUGGCACUGAAACUGGGUUCACCUUGUGUAGGAUAGGUGGGAGGCUAUGAAGCCGGGGCGCCAGCCCUGGUGGAGCCAACGUUGAAAUACCACUCUCGAUGAAUUUAGUUUCUAACCCCGGAGCAAGCCGGGGGACAGUGUCUGGUGGGUAGUUUGACUGGGGCGGUCGCCUCCCAAACAGUAACGGAGGCGCCCAAAGGUCUCCUCAGGGUGGAUGGAAAUCACCCGUAGAGUGCAUUGGCAUAAGGAGGCUUGACUGCGAGACCAACAAGUCGAGCAGAGACGAAAGUCGGGCAAAGUGAUCCCACGGUUCCUUGUGGAAGGGCCGUGGCUUAACGGAUAAAAGCUACCCCGGGGAUAACAGGCUUAUCUUGCCCAAGAGUUCACAUCGACGGCAAGGUUUGGCACCUCGAUGUCGGCUCGUCGCAUCCUGGGGCUGGAAUCGGUCCCAAGGGUUGGGCUGUUCGCCCAUUAAAGCGGCACGCGAGCUGGGUUCAGACCGUCGUGAGACAGGUCGGUCUCUAUCCGUGGUGGGCGUCCGGAGAUUUGAGGGGGGCUUUCCGUAGUACGAGAGGACCCGGAAGGACGGACCAAUGGUGUAUCAGUUGUUCUGCCAAGGGCAUUGCUGAGUAGCCAAGUUCGGAACGGAUAAGCGCUGAAAGCAUCUAAGCGCGAAGCCGGCUCCAAGAUUAGAUCUCCCUUCCUUCGCGAGAAGGAUAAGACCGCAGGUAGACUACCUGCUUGAUAGGCCACAUGUGUAAGCAUAGUAAUGUGUUCAGCUAAGUGGUACUAAUGGUCAAGGGCUUGACUU
rnacentral:rRNA from 1 species